rnacentral:rRNA from 1 species
GACGAACGCUGGCGGCGUGCUUAACACAUGCAAGUCGAGCGGUAAGGCCCUUUCGGGGGUACACGAGCGGCGAACGGGUGAGUAACACGUGGGUGACCUGCCCUCAGCUCUGGGAUAAGCCUGGGAAACCGGGUCUAAUACUGGAUAUGACUCCAUGACGCAUGUUGUGGGGUGGAAAGCCUUGUGCGGCUGAGGAUGGGCCCGCGGCCUAUCAGCUUGUUGGUGGGGUGANGGCCUACCAAGGCGACGACGGGUAGCCGGCCUGAGAGGGCGACCGGCCACACUGGGACUGAGACACGGCCCAGACCUCCUACGGGAGGCAGCAGUGGGGAAUCUUGCGCAAUGGGCGAAAGCCUGACGCAGCGACGCCGCGUGAGGGAUGACGG